GCCUUGGCCUCCCAAAGUGCUGGGAUUACAGGCCUGAGCCACCGCCCACGGCUGGAGUUUCGCUUCUUGAACCCAGGAGGCGGAGGUUGCAGUGAACUGAAAUUGCACGCCAUUACACUCCAGCCUCGGUGACAGAGCGAGAUCCCGUCUCAGACAGUCCUAAGAAAUCACUCAGUAGCUUUGCAUGAGUUCUCCCUUCUGUUGUAAACUCCUUUCUCCGUUUCUCUUCUGGUUCAAAGUUUCACACCUUCAAGGCUCACAGCAGCCUUCUGUUACCCACCCCCAGUCCCCAGCAGGUCAGGUGUCAAUUUUUUUGACUUUGAGAACCAAUGAUUAUCUCUUCAUGGCCCUAAUCAUACCAUUGUGUAAAUAGGCACUGUUUCUCC
rnacentral:lncRNA from 10 species